rnacentral:rRNA from 1 species
AUUAAAGUUGUUGCAGUUAAAAAGCUCGUAGUUGGACUUGUGUGCGCUGUCCGCGGGUGGCCUGCGCCCAAAAGGGCGUUUCGGUUCGGCCCCGGUGGCGCCUUGAAAUCUGCAGCUGGGGGGACGUUGGCCUUAACUGGUCGGCGACCGCACGCCGGCUGCUCGGUUACUGUGAGAAAAUUAGAGUGUUCAAGGCAGGCAUUGGGUGCAAUUGAAUACAUUAGCAUGGAAUAAUAAAAUAUGGCUCCUGCCGUAUUUUGUUGGUUUUGACUGGUGGGAGUAAUGAUUGAUAGGGACGGUUGGGGGUGCUAGUAUUGAGCGGCCAGAGGUGAAAUUCAUGGAUUCGCUCAAGACUAACUUAUGCGAAAGCAUUCACCAAGGACGUCCUCUUUAAUCAAGAACGAAAGUUGGGGGAUCGAAGACGAUCAGAUACCGUCGUAGUCUCAACCAUAAACUAUGUCGACUUGGGAUCGGCGGUAGUUUUUUCAUUAAGGCACUGUCGGGACCACGGGAGAAAUCAAAGUGUCUGGACUCUGGGGGAAGUAUGGUCGCAAGGCUGAAACUUGAAGGAAUUGACGGAAGGGCACCACCAGGAGUGGAGCCUGCGGCUUAAUUUGACCCAACACGGGGAAACUUACCAGGUCCAGAGAUGUAGAGGAUUGACAGAUUGAAGCUCUUUCUUGAUCACUUCGGUGGUGGUGCAUGGCCGUUCUUAGUUGGUGGAGUGAUUUGUCUGGUUAAUUCCGUUAACGAACGAGACCUCAGCCUGCUAGUGUAGUCGGCUGGAUUGCCUUUGGCGAUCCGUGAUUUCGACUUCUUAGAGGGACAAUCGACGCGCAGUCGAUGGAAGUUUGAGGCAAUAACAGGUCUGUGGUGCCCUUAGAUGUUCUGGGCCGCACGCGCGCUACACUGCUGGGCUCAGCGAGUUUUACUUGGCCGAGAGGCCCGGUUAAUCUUGUGAAAUCCCAGCGUGCUUGGGCUCGCCUCCUGCAACUGGAGGCGCCAACGAGGAAUUCCUAGUAGACGCAGGUCAUCAACCUGCAUCGAUUACGUCCCUGCCCUUUGUACACACCGCCCGUCGUUCCAUAAGAGUGAGGCAUCCGGUGAAUUCUCGGGAGAGCCUGGGCGUGGCCAGCAAUGGUCUGCUCGGGUUUGAACUUGCAUAAACUUGGUGCCUAUGAUUAGGG